GGAAACCCAUUAAGAAAGUACCCAUUAGACUCGAUCUCUGUGGACAUCCGUAUUCUUGUGGAACUCGGAAGCUCUCCUUUUUCGAUCAUAAAAUCAAUCAAUCAUUCAAUUCCCAGUUGAAGGACGACUUCAGAUUUCCAAUUCUUGAAAUCCCAAGAGAGAAGAUCCAUCUUCAUCUUCGCUGCUGCGAUGGAUUUCAACUGCCUUAUGCGCUUGCUCGUCGUUACUUUGAUGCUUCUUUGCGUCCAUUCUAAGGCUGAUGUCGCAGGGUCGGUUUACUUCCUUGACAGCAAAACCCAUCAAUAUUUUCGCCCUCGUUUGUCAGAGGUUGUUGCCGAGACUGAUUCCAUGACACUUCCAGAAGUUGGGGCUGCUGUUUCUGUUUUGCUUGGGCUUGCACCAUCUUCUAGUCUUUCUUCUCAUGGUUCAUCCAAGUUGAACAAGGUCGUAAUGCCUAAUCCAUUUGAUAGGCCACGUGCAGUUUUUACACUGGAAGUUAUUGGAGCUGCAGAUUCUCAAGUCACGAUUGAAUCGGCCCAUGGAAGCCAGAUUGAUUUUGAUUCCUAUAAAGCAGAUAUUCAACUUCCAGGUGAAGGUGAAGUCUAUGUGGUUUCAUUGAAUGAACCAUCAAGUUCUGAUGAUAACUCCGAGUUGACUGACAAGAUGAUAAAUGACUUUGCAACCUGGUUGGGUGGAUCUUAUGCUCCCAAUCCCUCGACGACCAUGAGUGGGGAACUAAUUAUCCCAUUGGCAAGCGGAUCUGAUAUAAAUCUUCAUAUGUCAAAGAAAGCGGAUAAACAAUUUGCAGCCUCUCUUCUGCAUCUCAUUAACAAUAUUCAGAGAGCAACAGACAUGCAUCAGGAUUUGAUUGGAACUAUUGAUUAUCAAGCUGCUGAGCUGCUCACUGGAACCUUUAAGGGCGUUAAGGUGCUGCAAAAGGAAUAUGGAAAGCAAGGUGUUGCUGAGCAAGGAUUAGAACUGUUGCUUGCUUCUGUUUCCAAGAUUUACACGUCCAUGCAAACUGCUUAUGGAGGGAAGCUUGUAGGAGUAAUCCUUUUGGGGGAAACAACUCUUUCAGAAUCAGAAACAAUGUUGAAUCUUAUGUAUACUUCUGAACCAUCUGCACGUUUGCUUCAAGAAGUCAAAGGGUCAUCAAACUCGACCAUUGCAGCAGCAGCUGAAGUGAUUUUUGUUCGGACAUUACUUGCUUGGUUAACAGGAAUAAUUCUCAUAAUUGCAACUCUUUUGGGGACUUACUAUCUCAUGUACAUGCCUAUCACAAGGGACACCCUUUUGUAUUCUAAUGUCAAACUCGACUAAUUCGUGGGAAAUGCUCGUUUCAAAUUUAUUAUGCCUGCAUAAACUUCCAGGUGUUCCUACUGCUGUAUGGAAUGACGGGAAUUGGACUUAACUAGGAGAAAAAAAAAUGAAGAAAAAACUCAAAUGGGCAUCAACUGCUCUGCCCAUUAACAUUUGUUUAUUCUUAGUUGGAAGUUAUUUGUAUUAUUAAAGUCUUUUGUAUGGGGAGCUUUUUACUUUUUGUGCUUAUGUUCUUACUGUGUGGUUAUAUUGCAGAGAGGUCAUAAACAGAAGUAUGUAUUGUCCUCUUGGUUUAUUGCUUACACCAUGUAAUGCAUUUAUUUAUUUCACAAUUGUUUUUCGGUUUUAACUGAAUGCUACCAGCUAGCUAUUGGUUUGUAUUUCAUCGUAUACUGAGGUGUAAUGUUGUUUGUGGCGUUGAACGAUGAAUAAUAAUAAUGAAAUGAAUUUUGCAUUUAUUAUUUAU